GAGGGUCAGUUCACCGUGUCAGUGUUUUCUCUUCGUGUGACAACCUCAGAAGUUGACGUGUGCCCACGACCUCCUGCUGGGCGUUCAUUUGCUUAAACAAGAUUAGGGACUUCGUUAUGCGUCAACAGUGUGACUGAAGCAGUGGAAUGUGCCUCUUGCCAUACGUGGUGCCCUAUUGGGAAGAAAGGAAGACCAGGACACAGUAACAUCGGCGGUGUUGAGCCAAGACAUGUGGGUGACAGAUGAGCAAAACAAAAUCCAGCAUUUUGACACCAACUGACAUCACAAGAUCCAUUCUAUAUGUGGAACUACCUGAGAACAGCUGGGCUAGGUGGGGCACGGCCCGAGGAUUCCACACACUACGCCGAUCCCCUUCUAAGCCAGGCCAGGUGCAGUGACCUGACUCCAGCUGGACGGUGUGAGGUCACGGGCCGGAUGUUCAGCCGAGGACUCUCCAGUCAGCACUGAAACCUCGUGAUAUGCACACCGCUCGACUCAUCUCCGCUGAACAGAACAGAACAGAAUCAGAAAAGGAAAGAUGGGGAGGGGGAAGUGGGGAUAGAAGAAGAAUAGAUGGGUGAUAAGAAGGGAGCUUCAGUAAGAGGGUAAAGUCACUGGGGCUUGACCCAGGCGCAAGAUGGACUUUUGUGGUUACUGAGCGCUACGUCUAUUAUAGAAGUUCUUUAUGGAAGA